CGAACGUCGCAGGGGUGCCUGCCUGAUCCGUACAGGGGUCAAGCAGGCUGAGACACACCCUUUGAACCUGAACUGGGUCAUGCCAGCGGAGGAAGCGAUGCAGGCACCGGC
rnacentral:ncRNA from 2 species